AUAAGUUGCAAAACAAGACUAGAAAUUCAACUAGUACAUUUCCUAACUAAUUUGAAGACGGAAAAUAUGAGAUCUUGCUUAGUGAUCCUCCUCUUCUUCUCAGUUGUUUCGCUUGUGUGUAUUAGCGAGGCAGCAAGACACGGACCAGAGAAUUAUGGAAAUGAAACACAGGAGCUUCUUAAAUGGGCUUCCCGGAGUGGAAAUCUGGGUCUUCGUGCACUUUGGCUCAUUCUGCAUUUUGCCGUCACCAUAUGGUAUUU